GUUUUAAUAGCUUAAUGGUAAAGCUAUGCACUGUUAAUGCAUUGAUUUGGGUUCAAUUCCCAAUUAAGACU
rfam:Pachysolen tannophilus NRRL Y-2460 unplaced genomic scaffold PACTA_scaffold_10, whole genome shotgun sequence.